rnacentral:rRNA from 1 species
UACCAGCACCCCGAGCGGUCGGCGCGUUUAUUGGGCCUAAAGCGUCCGUAGCCGGUUCUACAAGUCUUCCGUUAAAUCCAACUGCUUAACAGGUGGGCUGCGGAAGAUACUAUAGAGCUAGGAGGCGGGAGAGGCAAGCGGUACUCGAUGGGUAGGGGUAAAAUCCGUUGAUCCAUUGAAGACCACCAGUGGCGAAGGCGGCUUGCCAGAACGCGCUCGACGGUGAGGGAUGAAAGCUGGGGGAGCAAACCGG